rnacentral:lncRNA from 1 species
UCUUCCGCCUAAUUUUUUUCUUGCGUAGUAUUGAUGUUUCAAAAGAUGUCGCUUAGAUAUUUGGAAUAUGAUAUCGUAUAGUUUAUACGCUUUAAAAAUUUACAACCGUGUAACAAAAUACUUUACGUUGUAAGAGUUAUCUCCCCAAACACUGUUUUUCUUGUGGCCACUACUCCUUCGCAACCGUUAAAGAUUACGACAAAUUUAUUUUACCAAAUUGCUCGUUACAUCUUCAGGAUUAGGAUAUUCAUUUGGACCGAAGCUUUACGGAGACUCCAUAUGAGAGUUAUUCCCCCUUUUCCAUUUAAUUAAGUGAUAUGCAUUUCUAAAUGGUAAACCAUAAGUGAUAGAGACAUAGGGUCUUUAGAUUUGAAGUCCUUGGUCCAAAAAAAUAAAAAGUAGGUCAAGGUCAAGGUCAAAGGUCAAGGUCAUAUUCUAAAUUUUGAUUUUGGCUUAUUUUCACUUAUUUUCAAAUACCGUAUGACAUUUCGACAAAUAUUUUUUCAUAAAUUGUUAGUUGCGACAUGUCCUUACUUGUAUAUUUUGGUUGAAAGGGUGCGCAGACAAUAAAUUGGAGUUUUUGUCCAUCUUACAUUUAGAAUUACGCGUAAAGUGAUAUUACUCAUUAACCAAACAUAUUAAAGACCUAGGGUCUUUUGAUUUAAGGUCCUUGGUUUGUGACCUUGAAAUUGAGGUCAAGGUCAUAGGUUAAUACGACGUUCUAGAUUUUGACCUUUGCUUUAAAUUCAUAUAAAUACAUCAUAAAGCCAUAGGAACUAACAUUUUAAACUGAUUUUUCAUAUUUCAAUAUCAAAAUAGAUCUUUACUAGUGGAAAGACCUACAAUUGUUCUCUGAACAAUUGGUUUUUAAUUAUUAUUAUUAUUAUUAAUAUAUUUUUUUUUUCCGCCUAAUUUUUUUCUAUUUGUUUUUUUGUUUCAAAAGACAUUUCGACAAAUAUUUUUUCAUAAAUUGUUAGUUGCGACAUGUCCUUACUUGUAUAUUUUGGUUGAAAGGGUGCGCAUACAAUAAAUUGGAGUUUUUGUCCUUCUUACAUUUAGAAUUACGCGUAAAGUGAUAUUACUCAUUAACCAAACAUAUUAAAGACCUAGGGUCUUUUGAUUUAAGGUCCUUGGUUUGUGACCUUGAAAUUGAGGUCAAGGUCAUAGGUUAAUAGGACGUUCUAGAUUUUGACCUUUGCUUUAAAUUCAUAUUAAUACAUCAUAAAGCCAUAGGAACUAACAUUUUAAACUGAUUUUUCAUAUUUCAAUAUCAAAAUAGAUCUUUACUAGUGGAAAGACCUUCAAUUGUUCUCUGAACAAUUGGUUUUUAAUUAUUGUUUUUUUUUUCUUCCGCCUAAUUCUUUUUCUUGCGUAGCAUAUUGAUGUUUCAAAAGAUGUCGCUUAGAUAUUUGGAAUAUGAUAUCGUAUAGUUUAUACGCUUUAAAAAUUUACAACCGCGUAACAAAAUACUUUACGUUGUAAGAGUUAUCUCCCCAAACACUGUUUUUCUUGUGGCCACUACUCCUUCGCAACCGUAAAAGAUUACGACAAAUUUAUUUUACCAAAUUGCUCGUUACAUCUUCAGGAUUAGGAUUUUCAUUUUGGACCGAAGCUAUCCGGAGACUCCAUAUGAGAGUUAUUCCCCCUUAUGUAUUUGAUAUAGGUGAUAUGCGUUUCUAACUGGUAAACCAUAAGUGAUAGAGACCUAGGGUCUCUUGAUUUGAGAUCCUUGGUCCAAAAAAAUGAAAAUAAGGUCAAGGUCAAAGGUCAAGGUCAUAUUCUAAAAUUUGAUUUUGGCUUAUUUUCACUUAUUUUCAAAUACCGUAUGACAUAUCGACAAAUAUUUUUUCCUAAAUUGUUAGUUGCGACAUGUCCUUACUUGUAUAUUUUGGUUGAAAGGGUGCGCAUACAAUAAAUGGGAGUUUUUGUCCAUCUUACAUUUAGAAUUACGCGUAAAGUGGUAUUACUCAUUAACCAAACAUAUUAAAGACCUAGGGUCUUUUGAUUUAAGGUCCUUGGUUUGUGACCUUGAAAUUGAGGUCAAGGUCAUAGGUUAAUAGGACGUUCUAGAUUUUGACCUUUGCUUUAAAUUCAUAUAAUACAUCAUAAAGCCAUAGGAACUAACAUUUUAAACUGAUUUUUCAUAUUUCAAUAUCAAAAUAGAUCUUUACUAGUGGAAAGACCUUCAAUUGUUCUCUGAACAAUUGGUUUUUAAUUAGGUCUUUCCACCUUUCCGUGGAAAGACCUAUAGGUUUUGUUCUGAUUAUUAUUUUUUUUUUUCUUCCGCCUAAUUUUUUUCUUGCGUAGUAUUGUUGUUUCAUAAGAUGUCGCUUAGAUAUUUGGAAUAUGAUGAUAUCGCAUAGUUUAUACGCUUUAAAAACUGACAACCGCGUAACCAAAAUACUUUACGUUGUAAGAGUUAUCUCCCCAAACACUGUUUUUCUUGUGGCCACUACUCCUUCGCAACCGUAAAAGAUUACGACAAAUUUAUUUUACCAAAUUGCUCGUUACAUCUUCAGGAUUAGGAUUGGCUGUUUUGUACCGAAGCUUCCUAUGGAGACUCCAUAUGAGAGUUAUUCCCCUUAUGUAUUUAGUAUAAGUGAUAUGCAUUUUCUAACUGGUAAACCAUAAGUGAUAGAGACCUAGGGUCUUCGGAUUUGAGGUCCUUGGUCCAAAAAAAUGAAAAUAAGGUCAAGGUCAAAGGUCAAGGUCAUAUUCUAAAAUUUUGAUUUUGGCUUAUUUUCACUUAUUUUCAAAUACCGUAUGACAUAUCGACAAAUAAUUUUUCAUAAAUUGUUAGUUGCGACAUGUCCUUACUUGUAUAUUUUGGUUGAAAGGGUGCGCAUACAAUAAAUGGGAGUUUUUGUCCAUCUUACAUUUAGAAUUACGCGUAAAGUGGUAUUACUCAUUAACCAAACAUAUUAAAGACCUAGGGUCUUUUGAUUUAAGGUCCUUGGUUUGUGACCUUGAAAUUGAGGUCAAGGUCAUAGGUUAAUAGGACGUUCUAGAUUUUGACCUUUGCUUUAAAUUCAUAUUAAUACAUCAUAAAGCCAUAGGAACUAACAUUUUAAACUGAUUUUUCAUAUUUCAAUAUCAAAAUAGAUCUUUACUAGUGGAAAGACCUUCAAUUGUUCUCUGAACAAUUGGUUUUUAAUUAUUAUUAUUUUUUUUUUUCUUCCGCCUAACUUUUUUCUUGCGUAUUAUUGAUGUUUCAAAAGAUGUCGCUUAGAUAUUUGGAAUAUGAUAUCGUAAAGUUUAUACGCUUUAAAAAUUGACAAAGGCGUAACUAAAAACUUUACGUUGUGAGAGUUAUCUCCCCAAACACUGUUUUUCUUGUGGCCACUACUCCUUCGCAACCGUAAAAGAUUACGACAAAUUUAUUUUACCAAAUUGCUCGUUACAUCUUCAGGAUUAGGAUUUUAGUUUUAACCGAAGCUAUCCGGAAACUCCAUAUGAGAGUUAUCCCCCCUUUUGUAUAUGAUAUAAGUGAUAUGCAUUUCUAACUGGUAAACCAUAAGUGAUAGAGACCUAGGGUCUUUUGAUUUAAGAUCCUUGGUCCAAAAAAAUGAAAAAUAGGUCAAGGUCAAAGGUCAAGGUCAAAUUCUAAAUUUCGAUUUUGGCUUAUUUUCACUUAUUUUCAUUAACCUUAUUAGAUAUCGACAAAUUAUUUUUACUAAAUUGUUAGUUACGACAUGUCAUAACUUAUAAAUUUUGGUUGAAAGGGUGCGUAGACAAAAAAUUGGAGUUUUCGCCCCUCUUAUAUUUAGAAUUAUGUGUAAAGUGAUAUUACUCAUGAACCAUACAUAUUAAGGAACUACUGUCUUUUGAUUUGAGAUGUUUAGUCUAAUACCUUGAAAUUGAGGUCAAGGUCAUAGGUUAAUUGGACGUUCUAGAUUUUGACCUUUGCUCGAAAUUCAUAUUUAUACAUCAUUUAGCCAUAGGAACUGACAUUUUCAACUGAAUUUUAAUAUUUUCAUAUCAAAAUAGAUCUUUAUUAGUUGAAAGACCUUCAAUUGUUCUCUGAACAAUUGGUUUUUAAUUAUUAUUUUUUUUUUCUUCCGCCAACUUUUUGUUCCUCUGCAAUUUUUUUGUUUCGCAAGAUGUCGCUUAGACAUAUGGUAUAUGAUAUCGAACAGUUAUUACGCUUUUGUAAACUGACAACCGUGUAACCAAAAUCUUUCCCUUAUAAGAGUUAUCUCCCCGAACACUGUUUUUCUUGUUAUUGUGUAAUCUUCACAACCGUAUAAGAAACCGACAAAUUUAUUUUUGCAAAUUGCUCAUUACAUCUUCAGGAUGUGCUGUUUUAUUUUGACCGAAGCCGUAUAGAGAUUCCAUAUGAGAGUUAUUUCCCCUUUUGUAUUUGAAAUUUUGAAAUGUAUUUUAAACUGGAAAACCAUAAGUGAUAGAGACCUAGGGUCUUUUGAUUUGAGAUCCUUGGUCCAAAAAAAUGAAAAUUAGGUCAAGGUCAAAGGUCAAGGUCAUAUUCUAAAUUUUGAUUUUGGCUUAUUUUCACUCAUUUUCAUUUACCUUAUCAGAUAUCG